rnacentral:rRNA from 3 species
CGACCCCAGGUCAGGCGGGGCUACCCGCUGAGUUUAAGCAUAUC